rnacentral:rRNA from 1 species
GACGGGGGAUGCAAGUGUUAUCCGGAAUCACUGGGCGUAAAGCGUCUGCAGGUGGUUUCCUAAGUCCACUGUUAAACCUUGAGGCUCAACCUCAAAUCUGCAUUGGAAACUAGGAGACUUGAGUAUAGUAGGGGUAGAGGGAAUUUCCAGUGGAGCGGUGAAAUGCGUAGAUAUUGGAAAGAACACCGAUGGCGAAGGCCCUCUACUGGGCUAUUACUGACACUCAGAGACGAAAGCUAGGGGAGCAAAUGGG